GCCCUCGUGGAUCGUGGUGAUCGCUCCUACUUCAUGAUCGGGCGGUAUAUAAUCUGUUUGAGGAGAGGCGGAGGUUCGAAUCCUCCUGGGGGCA